CCUACGGGUGGCUGCAGUGAGGAAUAUUGGUCAAUGGACGAAAGGCUGAACCAGCCAAGUAGCGUGAAGGAUGACGGUGCUAUGGGUUGUAAACUUCUUUUAUAUGGGAAUAAAAUGUUCCCCGAGUGCCUGUUUGUAUGUACCUUAUGAAAAAGCAUCGGCUAACUCCGUGCCAGCAGCCGCGGUAAUACUGAGGAUCCGAGCGUUAUCCGGAUUUAUUGGGUUUAAAGGGAGCGUAGGGGGGUUGUUAAGUCAGUUGUGAAAGUUUGCGGCUCAAACGUAGACUUGCGGUUGAAACUGGCAGUCUUGAGUAGAGUAGAGGUGGGCGGAAUGCGUAGUGUAGCGGUGAAAUGCUUAGAUAUUGCGAAGAACUCCGAUUGCGAAGGCAGUAAACUGGACUGCAACUGACACUGAGGCACGAAAGUGUGGGUAUCAAACAGGAUUAGAUACCCGAGUAGUC
rnacentral:rRNA from 1 species